ACUUUCAACAACGGAUCUCUUGGUUCCCGCAUCGAUGAAGAACGCAGCGAAACGCGAUAGUUAAUGUGAAUUGCAGAAUUCAGUGAAUCAUCGAGUCUUUGAACGCACAUUGCGCCCAUUGGUAUUCCGAUGGGCAUGUCUGUUUGAGCGUCAUUA
rnacentral:rRNA from 1 species